rnacentral:lncRNA from 1 species
UUUUUUUCUUUUUUUUUAAGGUACUCUGUACUGUUACAUUUGAUUCAUUAGAAUCCAGUAUUAAGUCAGAUCAAAUUAUAACAGCUAUAAAGUAAGUUAUAUUUUGUUAUAUUUUGUGUUAUUUUACUAAAUGGUCUUUUUUUUUUUUUUUUUGUAUCCUGGUACUUUAUUCUAGUCUUAACAGUAACAAACUCUUAAAGGGCAUUUGAAAUAAUGCCUCGCUGUGUAGUCUAGGCUAACCUCUGAUUUACAGAGUGCUGGAAUUACAGAUAUGAGCUAUCAUAACCAACUUCAUUAUUACUUUUAUAGCCUUUAUAGCCUUUUAUAGUUUACACAGAAAAACUUGGAUUGCAGAGAACGCUUUUCUGUUGGUAAACCAUAUUUUCUUCUAAAUUGUUGUUUUAGAAUACAUUUAGAAGACAUUUGUUCUAUAAUGUGAUUAUUUAGCUUAUGUUCCUAGAAACACUCCUCAGCACUAACUUCUAAGGUAAUCUUGAAUAAAUUUUCUAUUACAAAAGAGAGAACAAAUAUAUGAGUGAAGUCCAGGUGCUAAAAAUAAGCCAGAGACUAUUAAUAAAAAAACUUGUGUCUAGUCUCAAGUGAUAUUUAAUUUUGUGCUCAGAAAUACUUGGUUUUCUUCCUCUUCCUAAAAGUUCAGCAGUAUAACUCUGUUCAUCUGGUUAAGAUGUUUUCUCUGCCCCACUGCAUCAUGGUCCUAAAACUUACAGGCUUACUACCAAACUGAUGGUAAUAACUCCUGAUUGUUUUCAGGAUUGCUACCUAACACCCCCCACCCCAUUUUUUUAUGUACGUAAUUAACAGUUCAGGAACUGGGGAUGUAUGUAGCUCAGUUGGUAGUGUUGCCUAACAUAUAAAAGAUCCUGGAUGCAGUCUCCUUCACCACCUAAAUCUAUCUUAGUGGUAUAUAUACACCUGCAGUUACAGCACUGAGAAGGUAGACGCAGGAAGAUCAGUAGACUACGCUAUCCUUGUCUACCUAGCAAAUUGGAGGGCAGCCCAGGUACAUGAGACCCUGUAUCUAAAACACAACAACAAAAGAUCAUUUUGGGGGGGAAGGAAAAUUGUUUUCCUCAGUCAGUCUAGAAUUCAGGUGUAAGUACCAGCUGUUGGAAGACAUCUCUCAGUUUCUCAUGGGGCUGAAGCAGGAGCAUUACCUAAAUAAGGGGUUUGAAACCAACCUGGGCAAGCAUAUAUAAAGAGACGAUCUCAAAAAAAAAAAAAUCCUAUUCACCCUCUCUUCUUCAGGUUUUGUGUUUCCAACCAACUUAUUAAUACUCAACUAUUUUUCUAAAAUCAUAAUAAAUCAUUUAUAGAAGUAAGUUUGUUUAUGUCCUUAUAAUGGUUUUGGUAUUCCUUUUUCUUGUAGUGGGGUAAAAGAUAAAAAUUUCAUGCUGCACUAUGAGGUAAGAUACAUUUUCUCCCCAACAUUUUUAUUGUGAAAAUACCUUCUGGCUUCCACAUACACCAGCCACACACACAUUUACAUAGACAUACAGACAGACAAAACACAUAUAC